rnacentral:rRNA from 1 species
AAUGAACGCUGGCGGCGUGCUUAACACAUGCAAGUCGAGCGAGAAAAGGGGGCAACCCCUGAGUAAAGCGGCGGACGGGUGAGUAACACGUGGGUAAUCUGCCCGGAUGUGGGGAAUACCUCGCCGAAAGGCGAGUUAAUACCGCAGAAGAUCGUCGGGACCGUGGUCCUGGCGAUCAAAGGGGGGGGCAACCCUCCCGCUUCCGGAGGAGCCCGCGCCCGAUUAGCUAGUUGGCGGGGUAAUGGCCCACCAAGGCUUCGAUCGGUAGCCGGCCUGAGAGGGUGAUCGGCCACACUGGAACUGAGACACGGUCCAGACUCCUACGGGAGGCAGCAGUGGGGAAUCUUGCGCAAUGGGCGAAAGCCUGACGCAGCAACGCCGCGUGGAGGAUGAAGGUCCUUGGAUUGUAAACUCCUGUCGAGCGGGAAGAAUGGCUCGGGUGCUAAUACCAUCCGGGUUUGACUGUACCGCGAGAGGAAGCCCCGGCUAACUCUGUGCCAGCAGCCGCUGUAACAC